rnacentral:lncRNA from 1 species
UUUGUUUAGCUUUCUACUUCUAAUUGGUCCAUUCAUAAAUCUAUAUUUAUAACCAAAGUCGGUAUCCAAUACCUAAGUAGAACCUUGACUUUAAGAAAAAAAUUAUUUUAAAUCAUGAACAAAUUUGUAUUUGUAACCGAAACUUCACUAAGCUUCUUUGGUUAGCCUCUGCAAGAUGUUUCUCGCAGUUUCUUUCCAG